rnacentral:rRNA from 1 species
UGUAAUUUUUUUUAUUUACGUUAAUUAAAGGGUAAAAUUAGUCUAAUAUUUAGUAGAGAAAGUACAAAUUAAAAUUGAAGCUAAAAAAUCUGGGUUAUAAACUAGGAUUAGAUACCCUAUUAUUCCGAGAUAAAUUUAUCCCUAGGUUAGUAGUAGAUAUCUACUUAAAAGCUAAAAGAUUUGGCGGUAAUUUAAUCUUUUCAGAGGAACUUGUUUUUUAAUCGAUAAGCCGCGAAAUAUCUUGCUUAUUCUUGUGAUAGUUUGUAUACCAUCAUUAUCAGAUAAUUUUUAAAAAAUGAAUUAUUGGGGUUAAGAGAAGUUAAAAAAAUUAGAUCAUGGUGCAGCUAAUGGAUAAGUUAAAAUGAGUUACAAUAAAUUUUUUUAUACGAAUAAGUGAAAGAAUUUUCAUUUAGAAGGAGGAUUUGAUUGUAUCUGAAGUUUAAUAUGCUUAGGAGAAGGUAGCUCUAAAUUAUGUACAUAUCGCCCGUCGCUUUCGUUUAUAGAU